UACGGAGGAUGCGAGCGUUAUCCGGAUUUAUUGGGUGUAAAGGGAGCGCAGACGGCUGUGCAAGUCUGGAGUGAAAGGCGGGGGCCCAACCCCGGGACUGCAUUUGAAACUGCCAUGCUGGAGUGCCGGAGAGGCAAGUGGAAUUCCUAGUGUAGCGGUGAAAUGCGUAGAUAUUAGGAGGAACACCAGUGGCGGAGGCGGCUUGCUGGACGGUAACUGACGCUGAGGCUCGAAAGCGUGGGGAGCAA
rnacentral:rRNA from 1 species